rnacentral:sRNA from 12 species
UCGCAGCCUAAGCGACCCGCGAGGGGCAUUAGGACAGGGUUGGUCGGUGAGUACCCUGAUUCGGAAAUAACCCCGACAGCU